ensembl:misc_RNA Metazoa_SRP Metazoan signal recognition particle RNA
GCCUGGAGCGGUGGCGCGUGCCUGUAGUCCCAGCUACUCCGGAGGCUGAGGUGGGAGGAUCCCUCGAGCCCAGGAGUUCGGGGCUGCAGUGCUAUGCCUAUCAAGUAUCUGCACUAAGUUUGGCAUCAAUAUGGUGACCUCCCGGGAGCAAGCGACCACCAGGUUGCCUAAGGAGGGGCGAACCGGCCCAGGUCGGAAACGGAGCAGGCCAAAACUCCAGUGCUGAUAGGUAGUGGGAUUGCGCCUGUGAAUAGCCACUGCACUCCAGCCUGGGCAACUCCAGCGAGAUCCUGUCUCUU